AUUUGCCCCCACAAAAAUCUGGAUAUUUUUUUAUUAAUUUUUUUAUUUUUUUCUUGAGAGAGGAAAGCACUGAUGAGACCAGAACUUCCAUAUCACCUGGAGACAAGAAUCCCCCUUUCAUGAUUUUUUAAUUUUGUGCGGCCUUUUAUAAAUUUAAAAGUAUAUGCUUUUGCUUUUGAUUAUGGAUGGAAGACCCAAAUAUAUGUUGUGAAUGUUUGAGGCUCCUAUGUUGAGUAUCGUGUUGAUUUGAAAGAAAAGAUUGUUUGGGGUGUUAGCGUAUAAAGAGAUUGCAAAUUUGUCG
rnacentral:lncRNA from 1 species